rnacentral:piRNA from 1 species
UGAUAGUGGAAAAAGCCCCCAAAGCUC